GAUGAACGCUGGCGGCGUGCCUAAUACAUGCAAGUCGAGCGAACAGACGAGGAGCUUGCUCCUCUGACGUUAGCGGCGGACGGGUGAGUAACACGUGGAUAACCUACCUAUAAGACUUGGAUAACUUCGGAAAACCGGUGCCAAUACCGCCUAAUAUAUUGAACGGCUUGAUUCAAUGGUUAAUGAGGCUUUGCCCGCCUCUAUUAGAUGGUUCCGCGCUGCAUUAGCUAGUUGGUAAGGUAACGGCUAACCAAGGCAACGUUGCGUAGCCGACCUGAGAGGGUGAUCGGCCACACUGGAACUGAGACACGGUCCAGACUCCUACGGGAGGCAGCAGUAGGGAAUCUUCCGCAAUGGGCGAAAGCCUGACGGAGCAACGCCGCGUGAGUGAUGAAGGUCUUCGGCUCGUAAAACUCUGUUAUUAGGGAAGAACAAAUGUGUAAGUAUCUAUGCACGUCUUGACGGUACCUAAUCAGAAAGCCACGGCUAACUACGUG
rnacentral:rRNA from 1 species